CAGGAAUAUGGCGCUUGAGGAAAACAUUAUGAGCGUUGUUGUACCUCGCUGGCAUACAAGGCUUAGAGUUAGGAUCCACUGAGUGACUUUGAGGCAAGACAAAAGCCACAAGUAUCAAAAAAGCAAUCAUUUUGAAGACCUGCUGUGAAGAAAGAGAAAAGGCAGAUGUUCUUCAAAAAUAUUCCGCUUUGCAGACGCAGUUCCAAAGCUGAGGUCCUCUCUCGAAGUCAUCUAAAAAUAGCAUUCUAUAUGCGCUAAACCUGCUGGCGUCUGUGGCAUGCGUGUGUUUUUUUUUUUCGAAAGGCAAGCCACUCUAGAUAUGUUAAUAGGCAAGAUGGCAUUGGAUGAUACUUACCCAAAUACUGCGCCGCAGACCUACGUGUUGGUGUUUGUGAAAUUCUUCUUUUGAACAUGACGCUGCUAAGCGAUGGCACAGUCUCCUUCAGAGAACUUUAUACUGGACGUCCUGCUACAAGGUGUGAUCGGGAGUGACGAAGGAAAAAGACUUCUUGCUGAUGCACAAGUUUGUCCUAAACAUCUUUCCUCCUGAUGAACACACAGCUUCCACAUUGUCUUUCUCACUGAAGGGAAAGAAUGACUGAGUCGUUCUGUUCCAGUGCAGGGCCGAGAUGGGUACAGCAUGUCCGGGUCACUCAGACAAGUGUGGAGUGUGAGAGUCAAGAUGACCACAAAGGACAGCAAGAAGCAGGUGUUAAAACAUGAUGGUGCACACUCACGGUUUUCAGCCCCUCAAACCUCAAGCAUGAUGUGUAUUUCUCCACUGAGUCAAAGUAAUACUAUGGUUUUAAAGAAGCUUAAAGAUGGUUAGCCACUUCCUUCUGGACGAACUGCCAGCAUCAUUUCCCCCACAGCACACCUACCUAUAUAAACCUGAACCUGAGUCAAAGCACUGACAAACAUCUGACUGACCUGAUCUGAUCUGACACGAGGACUUUUCACAAUAUGAUCCUGAAAAUGCUGUCAUUCGUGAUCAUCUUGACUGUGGUGAUCCACACUUGUCUGAGUGAGCUGGACAUGUGGUACCCAUCUCAGCCCUGCACUGAAGCGAAGGACCAGAAUUCGUAUGACACUUUCCUGAAACACCACCUACGUAAGGAUACACCAACUGAUACAAGAAAGCUAAGAGAAUGGCAGAAGUUCAUUAACAAAAUAAACACCUGGGGCAGGCCGAUUCAGUCAUUCCUUCCCUUCAGAGAAGCAAGCAGGGUGAAAGCUGUGUGUUCAUCAGCAGGAAAGACGUAUGGAGGGAACCUCUGCAUCAGCAAGAAGCCUUUCACAUUCUUCACUGUUGAGAUCAUUGAUAAGAAGCAAGUCAAGAAAGUCAAGGUUCAGAAACAACAUGUUAUUCUUGGCUGUGAUAAAAUUAAAAAUAAAUGUCUACCUAUUCAUUUUGAGCCAAAUAAAAAUGAUGCUAUACCAGAUAAUAACAACCCAGACUGCAGUAAAGCAAUGGCAAAUUCAAGCUUUAUUCCGUUUGAGGAGCUGUUUCAUGUCUAGACGCAUGACCUGCAGAAUUCAGGUGUCUGGUGUUACUUUGUAGCUUUGCUUCUUUUAUUUCUAUGUAACCAAUGUGGAAACUACAGUAAUGUGAGGAUGUCUGCUGACAUAUAGAAUGCAUUUUCUAUGCUUUUGCUUCAUUAUUUCUAUCAUUUAAA